AUCCAGGGAUGAGUUCCAAAUAGGACGAAAUGCGCAUCCUGCAU
rnacentral:hammerhead_ribozyme from 1 species